UACGAAGGAUGCAAGCGUUAUCCGGAUUUAUUGGGUUUAAAGGGUGCGUAGGCGGCAUGAUAAGUUAUUGGCGGCAAAUCGAGGCUCAACCUCGUGGAAACUGAUAAUACUGUCUUGCUUGAGUGCAGAAGAGGUUAACGGAACUCCAUGUGGAGCGGUAAAAUGUGUAGAUAUAUGGAAGAACAUCAAUAACGGCGAAGGCAGUUAACUAUUCUGUUACUGACGUUGAGGCACGAAAGCGUGGGGAGCAAAAAGG
rnacentral:rRNA from 1 species